rnacentral:lncRNA from 1 species
UAUCUAUGGGAUGUAUUUUUAGAAAUUGCUCUGCCAAAUUACAUUUUAAAUUUAAGCAUUACCAGUUGCUCAUCAGGAGGGUUAUAUCAUUUUUAAGUUCUCUCCAACAGUAUAGGAAAAUACCUGUUUACAUGAAUGCUUAUAAACCUGUAUUCAUUCACUGUUUAAUUAAGAGUAGCCUUGCCAAGCACAGUGGCUCAAGUCUGUAAUCCCAACACUUUGGCAGGCUAAGGAGAGUGGAUUGCUUAAGCCCAGGAGUUCGAGACCAGCCUGAAUAGCAUAGGUAGACCCCCGUCUUUACAAAAAAUAGAAAAAUUAGCCGGGCGUGGUGGCGCACACCUGUAAGUCCCAGCUACUCGGGAGGCUGAGGCAGGAGGAUUGCUUGAGCCCAGGAGGUUGAGGCUGUAGUGAGCCAUGACAGCACCACUGCACUCUAGCCUGGGGGACAGAGCGAGACCCUGUCUCAAAAAAAAGUCAUCUUAUUAGUAAUAAUAUUCAUUGUUACUAAUCUUCUCUGUGAAAAAAUAGCUUCUAGGUUGUUCUCAUUUUUGUUUGUUGGUUGGUUUGUUUUUUGAGCCAGGAUCUCACUGUAUCGCCCAGGCUGGAGUGCGAUGGUGCUAUCAUGCCUCAUUGUAGCCUCAACCUCCCUGGCCUGGCCCAAGGGAUCCUCCUGCCUGGCUAAUUUUUAAAUUUUUCUAUACAUACAGGGCAGAGGUUGUGGGGGGUGGUGUUCACUUUGUUGCCCAGGUUGAUCUUGAACUCCUGGGCUCAAGCAAUCUUCCCAUCUCUACAAAAGUACAAAAAUUAGCUGGGCAUGAUGGCGGGUGCCUGUAAUCCCAGCUACUUGGGAGGCUGAGGCGGAGGCUGCAGCAAGCCGAGAUCGUGCCAUUGCACUCCAGCCUGGGCGAGACAGUGAGACUCCAUCUCAAAAAAAAAAUGUAAGUGAUGAUGUCAGAAUGCAAUUUCCCCACAAAUAAUUAGCAAAUUUUCACAACAAUUUUGAAUCAUCCUUUUCCCCCACUGAUUUGAAAUGCCACUGAUAUUUCUAUUUCUGUUCAGUACCAAGCUAUUUUGGUUAACUGUAGUUUCGAAAUUUAAUAACUGGUAGGGCUGGUCUCAUUCUUCUGUCUCAGGUUUUUCCAAAGUACUCUCAUCCCUUGGUCUGUGGGGAACCGGUCCUAGGACCUCUCUCAUAUACCAAAAUCCACAGACGCUCAAGUCCCUGGUAUAAAAUGGUAUAGAAUUCACAUAUAACCUAUGCACAUCCUCCUGUAUGUUUUAAAUCAUCUCUAGAUUACUUAGAUGAGACUAUCUAAUACUAUGUAAAUAGUUAUACUGUAUUGUUUAGGAAAUAAUGACAUUUUUAAAAGUCUGUACAUGUUCAGUACAGACACAGUCUUUUUGAAGUAUUUUUUAUCCCUCCUUUGUUGAAUCCAUGGAUGCAGAACCCAUGGAUAUGAAGGGCUGACUAUAUUCUCACAGUUAUAUUCAAGUUGUAUUUUGAAUGAUUUUAUGACAAUCUUUUACCAAAGGGCCAACUGUAUUCUCAUGUUUAUUAUUCAAGUUGUAUGACAAUUUCAUAUCAGCCCCCCAGAGAGUUGGCAUUUGGAUUGAAAUCAUACUGAGUCUCUAGAUUAAUUUAGGGAGAAGUGACAUCUUUAUAAUUUUGAAUCUUCCUAUCCAUGUAUAUGCGAGUGUUUUGUAUUUCAGUGGCAUUUUCAAAUUUUCUUCAGGUAGGUCUCUUAGUGUUUAUUCCAAAGCAUGUCAUCUGUUAAUGCUUUUGUGAAUGAAAUGUUUACCUCCAUUAUGUUUUCUGAUUGUACAUAGGAAACAUCCUGAUUUGAAUUACAAAUAUUGUAACCAGUGCCUUAUCUAAUUAUUUUAUGAAUUUUAAUAGUUUUCUGGUUGUUCUUUGGAGUUUUCAAGUGCACAAUUAUAUAAAUUGCAAAUAAAGAUCAUUUUACCUCUUCUC